CGUCCGUCAUCGUCACUUUUGCAAAAAAGCCCCUCUAUUUUCAAGAAUUCAACCCGCAGUCCCUGUUUAAGUGGAUCGGGGAAAACGAUUCGUUUUUGCACAAAACACCCUGUCGUUUGGAUUAUUCAACCCGCGGUCCGAGCAAAUUUGGGUAAAGAAAAAAACACGACCAAAGGAGGAGAACGGGCUCGCCUCCUCUCCCUCUCGCUCAAGUCCUCGCCGCCGCCGCCACCACCCACGCCGGCAGCUUCCGGCGAGCUUCGACGCCGCGCAGCACGCCCCCCAACUCCCCAGAGUCCGCUCCUCCCUACCCUCCGGCCAGAUUCUCCGCUCCCGGCCUCUACCGCCCGCUCGAAACGCCACCCCCAUGGCUAGGGUUUCGGGCAGGGCUUCGCCGGCGCGUCUCCGACGGCCCAGAUGCAGAUGGAGCACGCCAUGGGAAUUCCCCAUCCACAUGGUCGCCGCCAUCAAGGGCUUCUUUACGGAGAUGUGGAGGACGCCAUGGACCUGUAGCUCCAAGGUCAACAGGGAGGAACCCUAGCCAUAAGCACCUCCUCGGAUGACGCCUCUGCUACACCAAGAUAGGUCAAGCAACCCCCAUCUACUCUCUGUCUCUCCCAUUAGCACAAGUCCAGUUUUAUUUUGAACAAAAUUCUGCUACUACACAAACAAGUCCAUUAACAGAUCUAUUUUUAUUUAAUUGAUAUCCUUCCAAACACAAACAGUGUAUAUAUGAUGUGCUAUUUUUCAUUUUUGUGCUUUUAUUUGUAAGCUCAUAAAAUAGUUACACUAAAAAUGCCAUGCAAGUUCUUAGUGAGCGAGUGGAUUACACUUGUGUAAACCCAAAAGUGGCAGAGGCGAGUUUCCUCUUAAGCUUUGUAAUACUCCUUAUUUCUUCUUAACAGAGAUAUAUACGCUUGGGGUAUGAUAUAGAUCUUCUUACCUUGCUUCUCAUGUUUCCUGCCGUAUAAUGUUGCAAUUCACCUGCUAACAUGUGAUCUUGCAAUUGCCGUCUAUGUAAGAUGAUUUUUGGUUGUCGCUCUGUUACAGUGUAGUAAUAUAUAAUUUGUUCGGUUCGUGUUGCUGUAUUGCUACCUUUGAUCCCUAAUUUGAGCAAAACUGCGACACUUAUUUGGGGCUGACUUGAUGCAUUUGUGAACUUGCUAUCCUGCACUGUUUUAUGACGACAAUUAAAUUGUGCUUUGGAUGAUUUUUUGCUUGAUAAUGAUUUGCCAGUCGUAACACCAUGAUCACCAUCAUGUCGCCUUUGAGUACGUCGGAGGAACAGGCACCGAGUUCGCCUUUGAGUACGCCGGAGGAACCGGCACCAUGUUCGCCGGAAUUCUUGGUCCAGAGAAGCAUUGUGAGUCCAACGGUGGCUACAACAGAGGUGGCAAAGGCGUCCAAUCCAACUCAGGUGGAGGCCAAGGAGGUUCGGCUCUCGGACCUUGCACCAAUGAUGCUGGAUGAUACCGACGUGCAGACUAUGUUGUCGGUCGGGUGUCCUCUACUACCGAAGUUCCCCCACCAUCUGGUGGUGCUUGAGAGCAGAGACGGCAUACUUUCAUCAGCAGCGGCCAAACCCCCAGCGCCGCUGGUGCUGUACACCCCUGUACCCCUCGAUAUCCAGUGCCUCGCGUCUGCCCAACAUGAACACCUCCUCAAUAUGUACAUCUCUGAAUUUUGCCAUUGCUAGAGAAAGUAGAGCAUUGUUUUGCUGUAGCUAUAAUUUGAGUUUAGAAGAUAUACUCCUCUCUUUUUGACGUCAAUUUUUCAGUUGACACUUGUGCAGAAGCCCAAUGGGAUGAAAUUACGGACCACAGAGAGUCUGGCACAUUUCGGUGGCAAGAUUUUUGUACAGUUACAGUGGCAGAUUUCAGAAAUUUGUAGAGCACAUGAUUAACAAGAAGAAGAUAUUCUGUCAAGCCAUGCAUAUCAACAAUCAGUCAAGCAAAGAAAUAUUCAUGGGAGAUAUACAGGGAUCCACAAGAAUGUGCACCGUAUGGCACUACCCUUUUGUCAUCGAGCCACUAUCACAUUUUGGUCAGCAAUCAGUUCAAGCAAUUCUCAGCGCAAUUAGUCAGAAGUUGGAAUUUACAUCUGAACGAACAAUACAUCAAGCAACAGAAGAAAUAGUGGUCAUCUCUUUUUCUUUGCACCAAGAUGCCAUACAAGCAUUCAGACUUCGGAAUCGCACAAGCAGUUUAUAUAUAAAUGAUGUGCCAUAUCGUUUUAACACGGACACUUCAAAAGAAUAUCUGCCAAGAGUGGUCGUUGAUCA